CGGACCGGCGCACGGGUGCGUAACGCGUAUGCAACCUACCUUUAACAGGGGGAUAACACUGAGAAAUUGGUACUAAUACCCCAUAAUAUCAUAGAAGGCAUCUUUUAUGGUUGAAAAUUCCGAUGGUUAGAGAUGGGCAUGCGUUGUAUUAGCUAGUUGGUGGGGUAACGGCCCACCAAAGCGACGAUCAGUAGCCGACCUGAGAGGGUGACCGGCCACAUUGGGACUGAGACACGGCCCAA
rnacentral:rRNA from 1 species